UGGGGAAUCUUAGACAAUGGGGGCAACCCUGAUCCAGCAAUGCCGCGUGUGUGAAGAAGGCCUUCGGGUUGUAAAGCACUUUUGGCGGGAACGAACCGGUCUUCUUUCAUACAGAGGGCUAAUGACGGUACCGGAAGAAUAAGCACCGGCUAACUACGUGCCAGCAGCCGCGGGAAUACGUAGGGGGCGAGGGGUGAGCGGAAUUACUGGGCUGAAAGCGGGCGCAGGCGGGUUUAUAAGCCAGGGGGG
rnacentral:rRNA from 1 species